GGACGUCCCUCCGAACCUAGUCCACCGCUAAAAUCGCGAUCGCCGCCGGCUGCGCGCCGGCCUCGAGCAGCCCCUACCUGCCCGCCCCAGGUGAGAAAGCUGAGAUCCCAGAGAGGUUGUGUGAUUUAUUCAAAGCCACACAGCAAUGUAGCCACAAAACCGAGACUAGGCCUCGAACCCACGGCUCUUUGCACUUGGACUCUGAUCAGCAUCCCACCCAGAGUCUACUCUGACUGAUGUUAACUGCGUAAAAGAAAAUCGCCCGUGGAUCCAGGCACUGUCCCUACUACAUGGAACAGAACAAAGAGUCCCUCUCCUGAGGAACUGAUGAAAGGGGAGAAAGAGGAGCAACCAAGGCAGAGAUCCUCAAGGAGGAAGCCCUGACUCUCCACGUGUGAGACCCAGCGGGACACCACUUUGCAGUCUGCUUUGCUGGCGACCGUGCCUCAUCUGCGAGGUCCAGGGAGGAGAGCACCUGGUGAGCCCCUCUACAGCCCUGGAGAAACCAGCCCUUUGGGGCUCAGGCACCCCCGCUGUGCCUGGGAACUGCAUGCCUCUGUCAAUUCCCCCUGUCUACCCCUCAGCUUGUGCGCUGUUGACUCACUUGUGAGUCUGAGUUUCAGGGAGUGGGAUGUGCGUUUCAGCACAGGGCCCUGAUUCACGGCAGGGAGGGACUUGGGGAUUCCCCUGGGCUGCUCCGGCAGCUCUUAUUUGUGGAAAGGGGUCUCUUCCCACAGGUCUUUAAAUUCUACAGUGUCAGACAUGCGGCACAGCGCUCCAAGGCCCAGAUCCUGCUCUUCUUGGCAGAACAGAGGGCGUGGUAACUGGGCACUCCCGAGGGCCCUGUAUGGUGAGAGCUCAGCGUCAGCCUUGCUGCGGUCAGUUGGAGAGCAAGGGAUCUCGGGGGCUGGACUGCAGCCUGGCAGGAUUGCUACAGAGGGGUGGAUGUUGAGCUAAACACACAGAGUCUGCCUCUCUCUCUCCCUCUCUCUCUCUCUCUCUCCCUAGGUUAGUAUGGAGAUUGAACCCAGGGUCUUCCUAAUGAGCUACAUUCAUAGCCCUUUUUAAAUUUUUUAUUGUAAGACAAGGUCUUGUAGGGCACUAACUUGACCAGUAUGGACUCAAACUUUUGAUCCUUCUGCCUCAACUGCCCAGAGUUCUGGGACUGCAGGCCGUGCCACCACACCCAGCUAACUCUGCGGUCUCUUAAAGGAAGUUAGAACCAGCAGGUUUACUCCAAAUCCUUUUUUGGCCCAGGUUUAUCUGCCUUUAUCAAAAAUAUAUUUUUUUUUGGUUCUGUUUUGAGACAGGGUCUCGCUAUGCAGUUCAGGCUGGUCUUGAACUCACCACGUACCCCAGGCUGGCUUCAAACUCCCAGUGAUUCCUGAGGGCUGGGGUCACAGGUAUGCGCCACCAUGCCUGGUUUAUCCAAAUAUUUCCAGGUACAGGGCUACACACACUGCCCAAAAAGGCCAGAGUGCAAAGUACAUUGUCUGGUCUCUUACCAUCCCUCCUUCUGCCCUCUUACCCUAUGUGGUCUGCAUCCUAGAAUCAUGGAGGUGGCCAGGAGCCGCUGCAGGUUGGCAGCAGAAAUAAAUAUGUAAAUGAAACACAGCUUUCCAACCUCAGCAACCGAAGAAGAGCCUGGCUGGAGGCUCUAGGAGAGUUCCCUACCGGAGCAUUUUGAGUUGUUAAUUUCCAGCUUUCUUUUUAUGCACUGGUAAGUGGCUUUCUUCAUUCCAAAGUUGGGCCUGUGUGGGAGGAGGAGAGCAAAAUCAAGACUCAGUGCACCCCAGUCCUAGAGUCCACGUUGCCCCGCUCCCUGGCGGGGAGGUUUCCCUCGCUCUGCAGGCAGAAGGACUGAACAAGGACCUGCAGCCAGCAUGAACAACGGGGAGGUCACGGUUCUGAUCCAGAUGAGCUGCCCUGCGAGACCAAGCAGAAGUGCGAUUUUGGCUUCCUCGCGGCACAAACCACCUUCCCUGUGCUCUCAGGCUGCUUGAAAAGAGCCAGGGGGGCUGAGGGCGGGGUGGAGGGGCUGUGGGGUGGGCCGCCAGCUCUGCCGCCCCAUCCAGGUCCCGCUGUGUAAUCACCCUCUCCAGAUGUCCUGGGGAGGGAGGGCCCUGAGUUCUCACAGAAGGGAGCCUCUGCAGGCCAGGAGCUCCCAGCCCAGCGCCAGCCUCAGUGUGAGCUAAAUGAGUACUGGACCAUUUGGCAACUUCCGAAAAGUGACAUUUGGAGCUGGACAUGGUGGCGCGGGCCUUCGAUCCCAGCUACUUGGGACACUGCAGCAGGAGGGUCACAAGUUUGAGGCCAGCCUGGGCAGCGUAGCAAGACCUUGUCUCAAAAUAAAAUAAAAGGACUGAGAUGCAGCCUCCUCCUCCCUGGGUUCAAUCCCCAGUACAAGCCUCCUCCCCAAAGGCAGGCAUGUACACAGAAUCUUUCAGGGGAGCAGGGGCAAGAAGAGGGACUUCUGUUUACUAUAACAGAUGUGUUUAGCUUCUGUCCUUCCCCAGUUCACCCGUGUGAUGGCAAUGAAGGAAUUAAAAAUGUGUAUAGACCCACAAGGUUCAAGGAAAAUAAAAAGUAGGAGAGAUGAUAAGAAUGGAUGAAAGAUUUCAACAAUGUUAGGAGAUAAAAUAUUAUUUGAGCAAAAAUGAUAACCAUUGGGGAUGGCUGUUCUGGUUAUAAACCUUGCAGUACUGUUGGAUUUAUAAAGCAGAUAUACGUAACAUUUAUCCAAAUAUUUUUAUCAUUACUUUUUUUUUUGGUACCAGGGAUUGAACUCGGUACCUUGUGCUUGUAUCAUUACUUUUUUUAAAAAGAAGAAGAAAAAGCAUUUGUGAAGGAGCUGAAGAGAUGCCCCAAACACUUCUCCUUGCAACAGUGCCUACCUUUGUGACUGGAUUCUGCACGCAGCCCUGAGCCCCUCCAGAACACAAACUGGGCUUUGGAAUGAGUCAGGGCACCUGCCAAGCCUCCAGGGACACUGACCCACCGGUAACACUGUGCCUCUGUCUACGGGGUUUGGAGUGGCUCUGAACUGCCCAGAAAGCCCUCUAGACCCCCAUCCACAUGCACUUCUCCAUAGGACCGGGGAGUUUAGUUCCAUAAUGCAAAGAGGACAUCGGAUCGGGUCCCUGCCCCAGGCAUUGGCGGCCUAAACGUGCCUCAAUUCCUGGAGCUUAAAUCCCAGCUUUGUCUGAGCUAAGGUGCAAGAAUCCAAGUCACCCUUAAAGGUGGCCAGAUGCCCCAGGAGGGGUGGCCAGAUGCCCCAGGAGGGUUACCCAGACUGAGAAGGAAGGGAGACACACAUAAAACACAGGAGUCCAGUGUAGAUCUCUUGUAAGUCCUGGCUGGGAGAAGGCUCCAGAGCAGAGGGACUUGGGUCUUUCUAACCGGGGACCCUUCCCCUGUGCGGUAACAAGCCCAGCCCUUUCCCUCAACACUCGGUAAGCGUUUAUCGAGCGUCUGCUGUACAACAGAGAAAAUCCCUGCUCUUCGAAACUUCCUGCCCCUUGUCUCCUUCUCUUCCCACCCAAGCUCUGUUUCAGCCCCCACUUCCCGCCCCUCUGCUGUUGCGAUCACCUCCUGCCCAGUGCCCAGCCCCGCUCCAGUCCAUCCUGCAGCCCCAUAUCUGACAUUUCGUGGCUUCUUAAUAUUUGUUGAAUCAAGAAACUUUAUUCCUUCUUCCCCCAGGACAUGUGUGCUGUGUGACUGCUCGGUGCCGGGCUCUGUUCUCAACGCCGAGUGCCCAGCCCUGAGCAGGAUGAGUAACGGGCUCUGCUCUCACGCGGGUUCGUCCCAGUGGAGGAGACAGCAGCGAAAUGAACACGCGGAGUGGUAGCGAUUCCUAAGAGCAACAGGCGACUGACGACGGUCAGGAGGCGGCAUGGUGCAGUCUCGUUUUCAGCAGACUAGAAAGCAGACGGCGCUGCGCAGAGACUCAGGGCUGUGGGGAAGGAAGCAGGGAGCACGGCCAGGCAGGGGAACCAGUUGGAAGCCCUCUUUCAAACCCUCGCCUACUUUUCCAGCCGUAUCUCUGCCCAUUCCUCCACCUUGAGCCAUGUUGACUUUAUCUCCCUUGAAUACACCGAGCACCUGCUGGCCUACCUUCAUGAAGUUCCCUACUACUGUGCUGUUACCCAAUCUCCUCUACAGACAUCACCUCACCUAAUGUGCACGUUUUGGCUUCAUUGAUUGAGAAAACUGAGGCUUUUGACACAUUGUUGCCAGCUGGAAGGCUCCUGGGCCCAACUAAAAUCUCGGGUGGACUGCUGGCUCCAGGUCAUGUGACUCUCUGGGCAUUUCCUCCCGGGAGAGUGGUCAGGUUAUCCUGAAAAGUCAAUGUAAGACUUCUGGAGAGAAAAAUGGAAGCAUGAACAACAGUUCGGGCAACUGUAUUGAAAUGGUUUAGAGGGACCUCACGGCAUGGUCAGGACACUGAGACUAGCUGGCCUGUAGGGUUUGGAGUGAUAACUUAGGCAAGAGAGAGACCCUGAGUGUCAUAUCAAAGAGCUAGACUUUCUCUCAUUUACAGCAAAGAAUUAUUGAAAGGUUUUAGGCAAACAAACCAAAAUACUGCGUAGACCGAACAAGUAGAGUGUCUAGAAAUGAUUAGAACUGCGGCUCCUCGGUGAGCAGGCUUUCUCCCUAGUAGAAGAUCCCACCUGUGCUGAGGGCCAUAUAAGACGUACAGGCCCAGUUCUGCCGCUGGGGAAUCUUGGUUUUAUGUAAAAUCCACCUAUUUUUUAUGUAAUUGCAACAGAUUUUUAAUGGCAUGAGCCACAAAGGGCUCCACGCUGGGGCCUCGGUCCUGGAGUGUGAAUGAGCUUCAAGAGAACAGGGCUUUGUCCAUGUUUGCCACCACGUUCUCGGGGCCUGGCACACAGUAGAUGUGCAAUAUACAUGUGUUACAUGCGUGUGUUAAUAGCAUUUCCAUUUUACUUCUGAGGAAACAAAGUCAUAGCAGACAACCCACAAGGUUACAAGGAAAGUGGCCCUGGUCGGGCUCGAGUCCAAACUUUUGAACUUCAAAAUAUUUGUAGGUAAGUUGACGUAUGCCAGGCACAGUGCUGCAAGUCUGUGAUCCCAGCACUCCAGGAGGCUGAGGCAGGAGGACUGCAGGUUCAGGCCUGGCCUGGGCAACUCAGUGAGACCCUGUCUCAAAAUUUCUUAAUUUUACAAAGGGUUGGGGAUGUAGCUCAGUGCAAAAGCCUUUGGUCCAAUCUCCAGUAAAACAACAACAAAGACAACUUGACGUAUAAUACAGAUGAAAUGAGAGUAGAGAUUUCCUUACCAGCAUCUUCAGCACUCCCAACCGAGGGCUGUCCCACACACUGCCAAUGUCCCUUGCAUGGUUGCAGCUAGUUUUAAUCCCUAAGAAACGUCUGAUCCCACUAUCUGGGACCCCCACCCCCACCCCGACCUAGCAAUCAAAGAUGAGGGAGCCCACAAACCACCUGUCCCUCCCAGUGCAGGGACAUUUGCCUGAUGAUGAGCUGCUAGAGGCAGUUGCUCCCAGGCCUUUCAAAUCCAAAGAAGGCCUCAUCAGGCCUAUGCUGGCCAGGUGCCUAACUAGGGAAGUCCCCUGGGAUAGCCAAGAACCUUCAAAGCUCUCUUUGCUCUAGUUCACUAUUUAUAAAACAUUCUCAGCAGAGCUAGGCACAGCUGCUGCAUAAACAGAAGUGGAAGGUGAGAGCACAGUAGAUCUAGCGAAGGGUGUCUCAGGAAAUACAGUACCAGCAGUGGAAGCUCUAACGUAAGAGUCAGGAUUUCUCCUAGAUCUCGGUUGAAAUAAAACUGAUCCAGCCUUCCUUCUUUCCUUCCUUUCCUCGUCCUCCCUUCCUCUAGUCAGCCAUGCAAUAAACAUCUAAUAAAGACCUUCAGUGUGCCAUGACCGGCCGGUAAGGGUCCAAUGGCGCCUAGGA